CCUCUGAGUGCUCACUCUACAGGUCUGUAAAGGCCAGGAUGGUCUCCCCAUGGCAGCUUCUCUGGCUCCUGGUACUCUGGGCUCAGGGUGCACAAGGAGCCAUUGUGCUGACCCAAUCUCCAGGAUCCUUGUCCAAAUCUCUAGGAGAGAGAGUCACCAUCAACUGCAAGGCCAGUGAGAGUGUAAUAAGUAGUUCUGGUAAUAGCUACUUACAUUGGUACCAGCAGAAGCCUGGCCAAGCCCCCAGGCUCCUCAUCUAUCGUGCUACCAAUCUGGAAUCUGGAGUGCCUGCCCGGUUCAGUGGCAGUGGGUCUGGGACAGAUUUCACUCUCACCAUCAACAACCUGGAGCCUGAGGAUGCUGGAGAUUAUUACUGUCAGCAGUCUAAGAGCUACCCUUUCCCACAGUGCUUCAGCCCUGAACAAAAACCUCCCCAGGCUGUUCAGGGGAUUCAGCUCAGAGCAUUAGCUGUUUCCUCUCUCAUCCCCAGUGCAGAGCAGCCCCUGAUCUCUGGGUAG